GCAUCUCUCUUCAUGUGCCCAUGAUAUUCAUUAUCUGUUUUCUAAUCUUCAAAAUAAAAAGGAUAAAGAAUACAAAUAAUCACAGCUCUGGUCAAAAUCUUUCCUUUGAGAAACCAAAGAAAGAGAAGCCCAUGGAGCCAGACCCCAAGAAAGAGAAUAUUCUCAAUCACAAUGAGGGGUCCCUGACCAUCAGUCUUUCAAAACAGGAUAUGCUUAUCUGUUACCAUACCAUUCUUUAAGAAAUUCCUUCUUUGGCAAUAUCUGUGGAAGCAGAACUCCUCCUGGUAGGUAUUCCUUAUCUUACAAAGGAAAUGAACCGGUAGAUUUUGAAAGAAGAAACUCAAGCUAUCAAUGGUCAUUUGAAAAAAAUUCUCCAAAUGACUAAUAGAGAAAUGCUAAUUAAACAACUCUGAGGUUCCACCACACUUUCGUCAGAUAGGCAAAGAUGACAAAAAAUGACAAUGACAAAAGUUGAAGGGCACCAUAGACAGUGAGGGGAAAAGGUUUUGUUUUUGUUUUUGUUAUUUUUGCCUAGGGUCUUGAUUUUUCUCAGGAUAGGGAGCUCACAGGGAGCAGCUCCCUGUACUGGCAUCUAUCAUUACCUUCCCUGCAACAUAGAGUCUGAUUGUGACUUGUCCACAGACACAUAGCCAUUAUUUGUCAGAAGUAACACUUGGACCUGGGUCUUCCUGUGUCACUGUGUUAUUGAAAAACAG
rnacentral:lncRNA from 1 species